GCUGUCAGUGCAUUAGCUGGAGUGCAGGACCAGCUCAUUGAGAAGCGGGAGCCGGGCAGUGGCACAGAGAGUGACACUUCUCCAGACUUCCACAACCAGGAGAAUGAGCCCAACCAGGAGGAUGCUGAAGAGCUGGAUGGCUCCGUGCAGGGUGUGAAGCCUCAGAAAGCUGCUUCCUCCACUUCCUCUGGGAGCCACCACAGCAGCCACAAAAAGAGAAAGAACAAAAACAGACACAGGUAUGUAUAUUAGGUUAGGCUGGGAAGUAUUUUUUAAAAACAGAAAAGCGUGAUGGAGGAUUGAUCUCAAGUUAAACAAAAAGCCAAGAGCCGACUACUAGAGCCAUCAGUGCUGAUGCUCCUGGGAUUUAGGUCUGUGACUCCCCACUGAGAAGCCCUGAAGCAGGAUGGCAGCUGCAGCAGGAGUGACUCACUCUAAGGGACUUGGAUGGGGGGAGGAAAUCCUGGACCAUGUACUUUGCAUCAUUUUUAAAUCACCUGAGUUGCAGGAGGACAAAGGUGGUGUAGUAGUUGUAGUAGUUCUGAAUUCCUGACUGUUCUGUGCUUCCACCUUGGUCGGGAACUUGCUGGAAAGGCUGACACUGCUGCCCCCUGUCACCUGCAGACCCACACAGAGGCAUUUCCUUUUCCACUGGAACUGGGCUAGGAUUCAGUGUGUCCCAUCCAUGUUGUGAGACUUAAAUUACUUUUGUUGCUGAUAUUUAGCUUUGCAGGUUUGGGGUUUUUUUUUCUGGUUUUAUUUUGUUUGUUUUUUUGUGCCUUUUUUAAAGCUGAAGUGUAUAGUUACAAGUUGACUUUGGGUUUCUUUGUUUAGUCCGUGUAGUGGAAGGUUCUUCAUUUUGUGGAGCAGCUUUUGAUUCUUACUCAAGCAGAGAAGAAGGCAGUUUAACCCUUUUCUCUUUCAUUUUAAACACCAUCUCCCAAUAUUCCUCAGUGCAUUAGGUGCAGGAAGGGCCAGAGCUCAGUGCCAGCUCUUCACUGUCGCUGACUUUGGGUGGGUUCUCUUUUUAAUACAAACCUCUGUCAUUUGUACAUAAACAAUAAAAGUUCCAUGUUUGUCUCUUCUCAUGGUUUA